rnacentral:misc_RNA from 1 species
UAGUCAGAUUAUACAGAUUGGUUGUUGGUGUAUAUAGCCAGCCGCCACAUAAACUUGACCUUAAUCAGUGAAGCAGACGAGAGAAGAGGAUAAGGAGAACAAAAAAAUUGCCGGCUUCAGUUGAAUUCAUCACCAUCAUCGCAUCAUGGCCAAGUUUGUUCUCCAGCCACUGGGGUCGACCACUGACAGCCCCUUGUUUCAAAGGAGGAGAAUACACAAUGAGAAUUUGGCUGCUCAAAAUGUGGACAAUAAGAAAAACGGUGGAGCCAUGUCUAUGUUAGCAAAUGGUGUAUGUGCAAGAUGUGGAGAAGGAUUCCAGUUAAAAGACCAGAUUGUCAACUCAAAUGAUCAAUCUUGGCAUCCAGAAUGCUUUGUGUGUGCCCAGUGUUUCCAGAGCUUUCCAGGAGGGAUUUUUUAUGAGUUUGAAGGCCGGAAAUACUGUGAACAUGAUUUCCAUGUUCUGUUUGCACCAUGUUGUCAAAAAUGUGGUGAAUUCAUUAUCGGCCGCGUGAUAAAGGCUAUGAACAACAGUUGGCACCCUGAAUGUUUCCGUUGUGAACUUUGUACUGGACCUCUUGCUGAUACAGGUUUCAUGAAACUUGCAGGAAGAGCUCUGUGUCGUGAAUGCCAUGCUAGAGAAAAAGCCAAAGGUCUUGGAAAAUACAUCUGCCAUAAAUGCCAUUCUAUUAUUGAAGAAGGCCACAUCAAGUUCAAGGAAGAAGCCUACCAUCCAUACCAUUUCAACUGCAAGAGUUGUGGUGUUGAACUAACUGCUGAUGCACGAGAGAAGAAUGGUGAGCUCUACUGUCUGCGGUGUUAUGACAAGAUGGGAAUACCAAUCUGUGGAGCCUGCAGACGACCAAUAGAAGAGAGAGUUAUAAAUGCUUUAGGUAAAUACUGGCAUGUUGAGCACUUUGUCUGUGCAAAGUGUGAGAAACCAUUUUUGGGCACCAGAUAUUAUGAGAAGAAGAAUAUGGCUUACUGUGAGAUACAUUAUCAUCAGCUAUUUGGAAAUAUUUGCUUUGUUUGUAACAAUAUUGUAGCUGGAGAUGCCUUUACUGCCUUUAACAAAGCCUGGUGCGUUAACCAUUUUGCUUGUUCUGUCUGUGACAGGAAGAUGAGCCAGAAAACCAAAUUCUUUGAAUUUGACAUGAAACCUGUCUGCAAGACAUGUUUUGAGAAAUUUCCUGGUGAAAUGAAACGCCGAUUGAAGAAGGCCUAUGAUGAACACACCAAAAAAUAACCUGGUCACCAUAGGAACUAAUAGUCUUGCUUCAGUGCCUCUUUCUCUCUUUCCAAUCUAUUCUCUAGAACAGUCUGCAAACAAUCUGUAGCCUUAUUCUCCAUUUGUUGUAAGAAUUUCAUUAACUCACCUGUCACCAAGGAGGGAAAAAAAAACAAAAACUGAACAGUGCCCCAAUAUGGUUAUAACCUCUGGUUGAAACUGUUUAUAGAAUGAUAGAAUAUAAAUUAAUGAGCAUAUGUCUAUUGCUCUUUACUAUUGUGACAGUUUAUUUUCUUUGUUGUUUACUGGGUGAAGCAUUUGUGUAUACAGAGAGGUCAGUAUCAUCCAGUGGAUGGUUAAAGAACUGAACUACUCACUGACUUAGAGGUGAUGAGUUCAAACCAUGACUGGGAUAUAUGAGUGUUGUAUUCUGGAGCUCAUAUCUCCCAGUCUCAGAGGCCCUGAUAAAUAAAUGGGUGAUGGAUAUUGCCUUUUUUUCCUCCACUUCACUAAGCCUUAAAAAUAAACCCCUACCUAAAUGCAACAAUGGAGAGUAGAAAAGAAAAACAAAGCACAAAAAAAACAGGUUUUCAGAGACUGUUUCUAGUAAAUAUCUAAGACAGAGAUAAGGGUUUCAAUAUUCAAAUUCUUUUUCCUAUAGACUUUUUAGUUUGACGUUACAAAUUCAUAAAACUGAAAUAUUUUCAUAAAUUAACCCUUUUGAUACCAACCCAUCUGAGACCAUCCUGGGUCCUAUGAUACAAACUUCCUGUUAAUUUAUGUUCCAAGCACCCUUGAUGCUGACAAAAUCAUUUUAUUAAAAUUUUCAUUUUUUUCAAAACUGAAACAAAGGCAGUGCAUUUCAGUUAGUAACAAAAGGGUUAAAAUUACAAUGGAUUAAAUCCUUUUUCUUUUUUCUGAAAUAGAAAUAUACUGGAAAAAGAAACUGCCCCCAAAAAAGAAAACUGGAAUUUUGAAAAUAACAAAAAUUUUCAGUUUGAAUUUCAAUUAAAAAUUGGAACUUUCUUUGGUUUUAAAAAAUGACAUUUCAGUUUUACCAAUUUUGAAUUUCAAAUUGAAAUAUUAUAAGAAAAAAAAUUGAAAUUCUUAUCUCUGAUCUCAACUUAUCCUGCUUCACUUUAUUUAUAAAUGUUUUUGUUUUUUUAAUUAGACAUCUAGAGUUAGUCUAAAUGCCUUAAAUAUAUCUAUUUUCUAUACAAAUCUAUAUUUUAUUCUUGCAAAUGGUUUAUUUUUUAAUAAGUCUUUGUCAUUCAGACCCUUCACUUUCUCUAUAUUUCUCACACAAAAAUAUUGCAUGUUUUUGCUAUUAUCUUCUUUCCAAUAUUAUCUGCCUACACACUUCAGAAUAGAUUUUUAAAGAAAUUACCUUUUUGCUCCAGAUUUUUAUUUUUUAUUUAUAAUUUUUUUUUUAUUAAAUAUAUUUUAACCCUCUUUGAUACCAGAGAGUGCUUCAGAGGAGUGAAGAUGACAUCACUUUCAAUGGCAUUGAGUAAAUUUGAAGGGCACCUCUCCUUUGAAUACAACACUAUCAGAUACAGUGUCAGAAGGCCCGUAUUAAUUGUGGACACACAGUCCUUUUCUUGUGACUAAACAAUACAUUAAAAACAAAAAUGAGAAAUUAUACAGUGAUCCUGCUGCUUACAGUAUACCUCCUCAUGAUACCAAUUUACUGUUAGGUGGACUGAGCUGUUGAGUAGUGAGUGUCUUACUUGCUGAACAAAUGGUGGGACAUGAAUUGGCAAUCUUUUGGUUAGUGGAGGCAGUAUCUCUGCUGAUGUUGCUUCAGAAAUACAAGUCCCCUUAUUUAUAAUGUCCAUAUAAUAGCUUUACAGUUUAGGGCUUUCUCAAGAAGAAAUCCUGUGAUGGUAGCAUGCUUCGACCUGAGAUUGUGUAUUGAAACUGAAACAGUAACAUUGUAGAAGAAUCAUGUUAGCCAUUUAAGAACACACAUGCUUUUUACAUUCACCUUUGAUUUAUCUUAUGUUGCUGGUGCAGUACUUAGGCCUUUGGUAAUAGUUUACUUUAUAAACACUGUCUUCUUGCACAGUUAAAGAAGCUUCACCCAAUCAGUUGAUUAAAUCACAUCAUCAUCAUUUUAACAAUCACUUUUCCAUGCUUGCAUGGGUCAGAUGGAAUUCAGUGAAGGCAGGUUCUCUAUGGCUUGGUGCCCCUCCUGUUACCAUAAAUAUAUUCUGUAUAAAAACAAGGUAUUAAUAUUUAUUACAUAUAGCAUUGGCUAAAAUGUAUAUGUUCUGAAGUACCUAAUUGCGUUGAAGCAAAAUGUUGUAAUUGCACACCAAUAACUUAUUAAUUAAACUAGCUGCCAAAUGCAUAAUAAUAUGCAAAUCAGUGUAUAUGAUUUACUUAAGCAUGUCUUUGAAGAUAAUUAUAGAGGAUAUUCAGUUGCUGAGGAAAUAUCAACACUUGACUGAAACUGGUCUAGUUUAUCUCUUUUUCUUUCUGUUCCUGAAGAUGUAUAAAGAUCAGGUGUUUACAUCUGUCUGUCACAUAUACAAGGUGUCCUAAAAGUCCCUAUAUACUUUCUUUUUUCUAUUUUCUUUCAGAUAUCAUUCAGAGAAACAUGAGGCCGUCAGCAUUUGACACCUUAGACUUUGAAGUUUUUGCAAGUGUAUCAUUCCCUUGCCCAUGGCUCACCAAUUGACGUUAGAGCAGUGCUGCAAAAUUGCUGCCUGGCAAGAGGUUUUUCAGUCCCCUACUGCAAUUCAUCGCAAGUUUGAGAAGGUUUAUGGCCAUCACACUGCUCCAACGCAUAGCACAAUUUAUGCUGUCCAAAGCAAGUUUCUCGAAAGAGGAUUUGUUCUUGACAAACCACACAGCAGAUGGCCUGCUACUACCACCAUUGAUGAAAACACCAAACUCCUAAAGUAGGUGUUUGUGAAAAGCCAGAGGACUGCACUUGAACUUAGCAUCAACAAAAGCUUGAUUCAGCGGAUACUUUGGUGAGUGAUAAAGCUCUACCCGUACUAACGUCAGGUUGUUCAAAGGCUUCAAGUGGAAGAUUAUGAUGCCCAUGUGGAAAUGUGUGAAUCACUCCUCUAGCUUUACCAAAAUGAUUCUUAGUUCUUGGAAAACUUAUGGUUCAACGAUGAGCCUAUCUUUCAUCUCUCUGGUCGGGUAAACUGACACAGUUGUUGAAUUUGAGGAAAAUCAAAACCAGCAGAAAUUCUCGAACAUGAACAAGACUCUCCAAAGCUGGUGGUAUAGUGUGCCAUGGGGCACGGGAAUGAUACACUUACAGAAACUGCAAAGGUGUCAUGCUGAUGGUUUCAUGUUUCUCUGAAGGAUACCUGAAAUGAAAUAGAAAACAGAAAGUGUAUAGUGACUUUUGGGACACCCUGUAGUUUUGAUUAAAAUCUAUACAUAUACUUUGUAGUAAAUAAGUAUUUUGUGAUAAUAUUGUAUAUGAUAAAGUGUAGAAAUAUUGCAUCAUGGAUCUACAAACUAAUCACUGGUACAGCAUCAUUGUAUCUCUGAAAGUAUGUCAGUAGUCAGGCUGUAGAGGAAUGAUGAAAUUUUCUGAUAUUUUACCAUUAUACAAGAUAAAAAAAA